GAGUUUCUUCAUGAGUAAACAGAGGACUGACAAUAAGUCUAAUUCAGGAAUAACCCUUGAAAAUCAAAGUGAAAUCUUUAUAAGGAGCAAAUGUCUUAAA